CCUGUCGCCGCCCUGCAGAAAUGCUUCAAUUACCCACAGUCCUUCGCCAGAGAAGACCAGUGUCCAGGGCACUGGCUCCUCAUCUCACUAGGGCUUAUGCCAAAGAUGUAAAAUUUGGUGCAGAUGCCCAAGCCUUAAUGCUUUAAGGUGUAGACCUUUUAGCUGAUGCUAUCGCUGUUACAAUGGGGCCAAAGGGAAGAACAGUGAUUAUUGAAUAGAGUUGGGGAAGUCCCAGAGUAACAAAAGAUGGUGUGACUGUUGCAAAGUCAAUUGACUUAAAUGAUAAAUAUAAAAAUAUUGGAGCUAAACUUAUUCAAGAUGUUGCCAGUAACACAAAUGAAGAGACUGGGGAUGGUACCACCACUGCUACUGUACUGGCACGGUCUAUUGCCAAGGAAGGCUUUGAGAAAAUUAGAAAAGGUGCUAAUCCAGUGGAAAUCAGGAGAGGUGUGAUGUUAGCUGUUGAUGCUAUAAUUGCUGAACUAAAGAAACAGUCUAAACCUGUAACAACCCUUGAAGAAAUAGCUCAGGUUACUACAAUUUCUGCAAACGGAGAAAAAGAAAUUGGCAACAUCAUUUCUGAUACAAUGAAAAAGGUUGGAAGAAAGGGCGUCAUCACAGUAAAGGAUGGAAAAACACUGAAUGAUGAAUUAGAAAUUAUUGAAGUCAUGAAAUUUGAUCGACGCUACAUUUCUCCAUACUUUAUUAACACGUCAAAAGGUCAGAAAUGUGAAUUCCAGGAUGCCUGUGUUCUAUUGAGUGAAAAGAAAAUUUCUAGUGUCAAGUCGAUUGAUUGUACCUGCUCUUGAAAUUGCCAGUGCUCACUGUAAGCCCUUGGUCAUAAUUGCUGAAGAUGUUGAUGAAGAAGCUCUAAGUACACUCAUUUUGAAUAGGUUAAAAGUUGGUCUUCAAGUCAUAGCAGUCAAAGCUCCAGGAUUUGGUGAUAAUAGAAAGAACCAGCUUAAUGACAUGGCUAUUGCUACUGCUGGUGCAGUGUUUGGGGAAGUGGAGUUCACCCUAAACCUUGAAGAUGUUCAGCCCCAUGACUUAGGAAAAGUUGGAGAGGUCAUUGUGACCAAAGAUGAUGCCAUGCUCUUGAAACAUGUAUUCAGCUAGUGAAUAUGAAAAGGAAAAACUGAAUGAACGUCUGGCAAAACUUUCAGAUGGAGUAGCUGUGCUGAGGGUUGGUGGGACAAGUGAUGUUGAAGUAAAUGAAAAGAAAGACAGAGUUACAGAUGCCCUUAAUGCUACAAGAGCUGUUGUUGAAGAAGGCAUUGUUCUGGGAGGGGGUUGUGCCCUGCUUUGGUGCAUUCCAGCCUUGGACUCACUAACUCCAGCUAAUGAAGAUCAAAAAAUUGGUAUAGAAAUUAUUAAAAGAACACUCAAAAUUCCUGCAAUGACCAUUGCUAAGAAUGCAGGUGUUGAAGGAUCUUUGAUAGUUGAGAAAAUUAUGCAAAUUUCCUCAGAAGUUGGUUAUGAGAUUUUGUGAAUAUGGUGGAAAAAGGAAUCAUUGAUCCAACAAAGGUUGUAGGAACUGCUUUAUUGGAUGCUGCUGGGGUGGCCUCUCUGUUAACUACAGCAGAGGUUGUAGUCACAGAAAUUCCUAAAGAAGAGAAGGACCCUGGAAUAGGUGUAAUGGGUAGCAUGGGAGGUGGCAUGUUCUAAUUCCUAGAAUAGUGCUUUACUGUUACUAAUGAACUGUGACAGGAAGCUGAAGGCAGUGUUGCUCACCAGUAACUUCAGAGAAGUCAGUUGGAGAAAAUGAAGAAAAGGCUGGCUGAUGUUUAAGAAUAUCACUAUAACCAUCAGUUACUGGUUUCAGUUGACAAUAUAUAAUGUUUACGGCUGUCAUUAUCCAUGCCUACAGAUAAUUUACUUUGUAUUUUUGAAUAAAAAGACGUUUGUACA